CAGAUACUGGACCUGCCAACAUCAUCAGAGCAGCUGCUCUGCUGCCCCUGUGACACUGGGGCAGAGAGGAAGCAACUAUUUCUAUACUCAGUGCUCAUAACAGUGAGUGCUAAGUGCGGUUUAUAGCCAGACAUUG
ensembl:snoRNA